AAUCGGCUUAAUCUCAGCUGGCAACUGUGAGAUGCUAACCAAUUCUCCCACAGUGGCAUCUGGGAUUAUGCUAAAC
ncrna:Ornithorhynchus anatinus (platypus) microRNA oan-mir-216a precursor